GACGAACGCUGGCGGCGUGCUUAACACAUGCAAGUCGAACGCUGAAGACCUGGCUUUUGUUGGGUUGGAUGAGUGGCGAACGGGUGAGUAACACGUGAGUAACCUGCCCUCUUCUUUGGGAUAACGCCCGGAAACGGGUGCUAAUACUGGAUAUUCACUGAUCUUCGCAUGGGGGUUGGUGGAAAGGUUUGUUCUGGUGGGGGAUGGGCUCGCGGCCUAUCAGCUUGUUGGUGGGGUGAUGGCCUACCAAGGCUUUGACGGGUAGCCGGCCUGAGAGGGUGACCGGUCACAUUGGGACUGAGAUACGGCCCAGACUCCUACGGGAGGCAGCAGUGGGGAAUAGUGCACAAUGGGCGAAAGCCUGAGGCAGCGACGCCGCGUGAGGGAUGGAGGCCUUCGGGUUGUAAACCUCUUUCGCUCAUGGUCAAGCCGCAACUGUGGGUUGUGGUGAGGGUAGUGGGUAAAGAAGCGCCGGCUAACUACGUG
rnacentral:rRNA from 1 species